rnacentral:rRNA from 1 species
CCUACGGGUGGCAGCAGUGGGGAAUAUUGGACAAUGGGGGGAACCCUGAUCCAGCAACGCCGCGUGCGUGAAGAAGUAUUUCGGUAUGUAAAGCUCUAUCAGCAGGGAAGAAAGAAAUGACGGUACCUGACUAAGAAGCCCCGGCUAACUACGUGCCAGCAGCCGCGGUAAUACGUAGGGGGCAAGCGUUAUCCGGAUUUACUGGGUGUAAAGGGGGCGUAGACGGCGAUGACAGUCUGAAGUGAAAGGCGGGGGCUCAACCCCCGGACUGCUUUGGAAACUGUAUGGCUGGAGUGCAGGAGAGGUAAGUGGAAUUCCUAGUGUAGUGGUGAAAUGCGUAGAUAUUAGGAGGAACACCAGUGGCGAAGGCGGCUUACUGGACUGUAACUGACGUUGAGGCUCGAAAGCGUGGGGAGCAAACAGGAUUAGAUACCCGGGUAGUC